rnacentral:rRNA from 1 species
AUUGAACGCUGGCGGAAUGCUUUACACAUGCAAGUCGAACGGCAGCACGGGGGCAACCCUGGUGGCGAGUGGCGAACGGGUGAGUAAUACAUCGGAACGUGCCCAGUCGUGGGGGAUAACGUAGCGAAAGCUACGCUAAUACCGCAUACGAUCUCUGGAUGAAAGCGGGGGACCGCACGGCCUCGCGCGAUUGGAGCGGCCGAUGGCAGAUUAGGUAGUCGGUGGGGUAAAGGCUCACCAAGCCGACGAUCUGUAGCUGGUCUGAGAGGCCGACCAGCCACACUGGGACUGAGACACGGCCCAGACUCCUACGGGAGGCAGCAGUGGGGAAUUUUGGACAAUGGGCGAAAGCCUGAUCCAGCCAUUCCGCGUGCAGGAUGAAGGCCCUCGGGUUGUAAACUGCUUUAGUACGGAACGAAAAGGCUCUUUCUAAUACAGAGGGCUCAUGACGGUACCGUAAGAAUAAGCACCGGCUAACUACGUGCCAGCAGCCGCAGUAAAAC